CCUACGGGAGGCAGCAGUGAGGAAUAUUGGUCAAUGGGCGUAAGCCUGAACCAGCCAAGUCGCGUGAGGGAAGAAGGUUCUAUGGAUCGUAAACCUCUUUUAUAAGGGAAUAAAGUGCGGGACGUGUCCCGUUAUGCAUGUACCUUAUGAAUCAGGAUCGGCUAACUCCGUGCCAGCAGCCGCGGUAAUACGGAGGAUCCGAGCGUUAUCCGGAUUUAUUGGGUUUAAAGGGUGCGUAGGCGGCCUUUUAAGUCAGCGGGGAAAGGCGGUGGCUCAACCAUAGAAUUGCCGUUGAAACUGGGAGGCUGGAGUGUGUUUGAGGCAGGCGGAAUGCGUGGUGUAGCGGUGAAAUGCUUAGAUAUCACGCAGAACCCCGAUUGCGAAGGCAGCCUACCGGGCCAUGACUGACGCUGAUGCACGAAAGCGUGGGGAUCAAACAGGAUUAGAUACCCGAGUAGUC
rnacentral:rRNA from 1 species